UAAUUUUGAAAUUUCGGAUUGAUCACAAUCGCUUGUCAUUAUAAUUAAUUCCAACUCGUUAAGACUAUCGAAACUACAUUUGCCUGAGCUUUACUCGAACUAUGUAUUUGAUUUGUUUCCAAAAUAUGCUAUUUUAUAAAAUAAAGAAAAGAAAAAUUAAUUAAAUUACAUCUACUGGUUUAUUUCUAUGCGUUAUUAGGAGCCUGN
rnacentral:lncRNA from 1 species